CUACGGGGGGCAGCAGUGGGGAAUCUUGCACAAUGGGGGAAACCCUGAUGCAGCGACGCCGCGUGAGCGAUGAAGCCCUUCGGGGUGUAAAGCUCUUUCAGCAGGAACGAUUAUGACGGUACCUGCAGAAGAAGCUGCGGCUAACUACGUGCCAGCAGCCGCGGUAAUACGUAGGCAGCAAGCGUUGUUCGGAGUUACUGGGCGUAAAGAGUGCGUAGGCGGUUCGGUAAGUUCGGUGUGAAAUCUCCCGGCUCAACUGGGAGGGUGCGCCGGAAACUACCGUGCUAGAGCAUGGGAGAGGGAAGCGGAAUUCCUGGUGUAGCGGUGACAUGCGUAGAUAUCAGGAGGAACACCGGUGGUGUAGACGGCUUCCUGGACCAUUGCUGACGCUGAGGCACGAAAGCGUGGGGAGCAAACAGGAUUAGAUACCCUUGUAGUC
rnacentral:rRNA from 1 species